rnacentral:rRNA from 1 species
UGGGGAAACCCAGGCUAAUACCGCAUACGUCCUACGGGAGAAAGGGGGCUUCGGCUCUCGCUAUUGGAUGAGCCUAUGUCGGAUUAGCUAGUUGGUGAGGUAAUGGCUCACCAAGGCAACGAUCCGUAGCUGGUCUGAGAGGAUGAUCAGCCACAUCGGGACUGAGACACGGCCCGAACUCCUACGGGAGGCAGCAGUGGGGAAUAUUGGACAAUGGGCGAAAGCCUGAUCCAGCCAUGCCGCGUGUGUGAAGAAGGCCCUCGGGUUGUAAAGCACUUUCAGCGAGGAAGAACGCCUAGUGGUUAAUACCCAUUAGGAAAGACAUCACUCGCAGAAGAAGCACCGGCUAACUCCGUGCCAGCAGCCGCGGUAAUACGGAGGGUGCAAGCGUUAAUCGGAAUUACUGGGCGUAAAGCGCGCGUAGGUGGCUUGAUAAGCCGGUUGUGAAAGCCCCGGGCUCAACCUGGGAACGGCAUCCGGAACUGUCAAGCUAGAGUGCAGGAGAGGAAGGUAGAAUUCCCGGUGUAGCGGUGAAAUGCGUAGAGAUCGGGAGGAAUACCAGUGGCGAAGGCGGCCUUCUGGACUGACACUGACACUGAGGUGCGAAAGCGUGGGUAGCAAACAGGAUUAGAUACCCUGGUAGUCCACGCCGUAAACGAUGUCGACCAGCCGUUGGGUGCCUAGCGCACUUUGUGGCGAAGUUAACGCGAUAAGUCGACCGCCUGGGGAGUACGGCCGCAAGGUUAAAACUCAAAUGAAUUGACGGGGGCCCGCACAAGCGGUGGAGCAUGUGGUUUAAUUCGAUGCAACGCGAAGAACCUUACCUACUCUUGACAUCCUGCGAACUUGUGAGAGAUCACUUGGUGCCUUCGGGAACGCAGAGACAGGUGCUGCAUGGCUGUCGUCAGCUCGUGUUGUGAAAUGUUGGGUUAAGUCCCGUAACGAGCGCAACCCUUGUCCUUAUUUGCCAGCGGGUAAUGCCGGGAACUCUAAGGAGACUGCCGGUGACAAACCGGAGGAAGGUGGGGACGACGUCAAGUCAUCAUGGCCCUUACGAGUAGGGCUACACACGUGCUACAAUGGCCGGUACAAAGGGUUGCGAGCUCGCGAGAGUCAGCUAAUCCCGAAAAGCCGGUCUCAGUCCGGAUCGGAGUCUGCAACUCGACUCCGUGAAGUCGGAAUCGCUAGUAAUCGUGAAUCAGAAUGUCACGGUGAAUACGUUCCCGGGCCUUGUACAC